GGAGGAAUGGCAGAGCGGACGAAUGCGGCGGUCUUGAAAACCGUUGUACUGAAAGGUACCGUGGGUUCGAAUCCUACUUCCUCCGCCA
rnacentral:tRNA from 1 species